UUAGAUGUGCAGCUAGUUUCCUAGAGGGAGACUUACCAUUAUCAUAAAAUACUUCUGAAGUAAUUGAUACAAUGUGGGAGUAACGUAGGAAAGGAUCUGGAAGCUACUACUGUGUGAAAGGUAUAGAACCUAGAAAUAUCUGGCACAAUGUAUUCAAGAAGGCACAUGAAAUUAUGUUCACUGAAGUAUUUUUUGUAAGAG